CAGGACGAACGCUGGCGGCGUGCUUAACACAUGCAAGUCGAGCGAUGAAGCUUCCUUCGGGAAGUGGAUUAGCGGCGGACGGGUGAGUAACACGUGGGUAACCUGCCUCAAAGUGGGGGAUAGCCUUCCGAAAGGAAGAUUAAUACCGCAUAACAUAAGAUAAUCGCAUGAUUUUCUUAUCAAAGAUUUAUUGCUUUGAGAUGGACCCGCGGCGCAUUAGCUAGUUGGUAAGGUAAUGGCUUACCAAGGCAACGAUGCGUAGCCGACCUGAGAGGGUGAUCGGCCACAUUGGAACUGAGACACGGUCCAGACUCCUACGGGAGGCAGCAGUGGGGAAUAUUGCGCAAUGGGGGAAACCCUGACGCAGCAACGCCGCGUGGGUGAUGAAGGUCUUCGGAUUGUAAAGCCCUGUUUUCUGGGACGAUAAUGACGGUACCAGAGGAGGAAGCCACGGCU
rnacentral:rRNA from 1 species